ACCCUGGAGGCUUAUGGGCUGUGCUCCAGGACCCGUUCGGGUUUCGGGCUGGUUGUAUAUUGGCUGUUUGACUGAUUGGAUUUCAAAAGACGUCUGUGCGUCCUUCGAGGGGGCUUGACUCGGUGGUAGCUUCACAAGAGAGGGGUGAUAUGACAGUGACAACUGCGAACUGCAAAGCUUAUUUCCUGUCGCCCUUUAGUUAACUUAGAAGAUGCGGAAAAUUUAAAACAACUUUAGUUGUCUCAGGGCAUCCCUACCGUCGGACGAAAGUCGGAAGGUUGAGUUGUAUCCGUGGAAAAUGUAGACACUGUGCCAUUCAACAAACAUAUUUUUGAGAGCCUGAUGUGUGCAAGAUUCUGUGCCAGGCCUUGAGAACAUAAGGGAAAUGAAAUAAGCCUUACGAAGCUUACAGUCCAUGCGAAGCUGGUUAUAAGAGUUGUGGCACUGUCAGUCUUCGGAGAGUCACGUUUCUGUUUUUUCUUCCUCAAGGUUGAGAACAAUGAACAAUUCCAUGUUUCCAAGAAAUUUUCCUUUCUACCUGCUUCUAUAUCAACCAUUAAUUUCUGAGAUGAAAGGAUUGAUUUAUCAGUUACUACUCCAUUAUUAAAGCACUGAUUGCAAAAUCAAGCUAAGUAUUUAAAACUGAUUUUAAUAAAUUAUGUUUACGUUUAA